rnacentral:tRNA from 1 species
GCCGAGGUGAUGGAAUGGCAGACAUUGAGGCCUUAAAAGCCUCUGGCCGUAAGGCCGUGAGGGUUCAACUCCCUCCCUCGGCA